rnacentral:misc_RNA from 1 species
AAGUCGUAACAAGGUUUCCGUAGGUGAACCUGCGGAAGGAUCAUUAUUACGUAUCCAACGUAUCAACCCAAUAGUGAAUUUGUUUCCCGUCUGAUUUGAGGGUAUCUGCGACCAAAUAAGGAGCUUCAAAAAUGCAUGAUGAGGAAGGGUCAAACCUUCUUCGAGGCUUUCGGUCCUAGUAGUUGAACCUCUUGUUCAAAGUGGUUCUUGCUACUAGCUCAUCAGAUGUGGUUUUUAUUUUAUCAUCAUGCGAACUUAUUAACCCCAUGUAACAAAAACUCUGAACUAAAAGAUUUGCUACCUGAUAAAAAGGGUGGUAAAAAGACUGAAAUUAAGAAACAACUCUUAACAACGGAUAUCUUGGUUCUC